rnacentral:rRNA from 1 species
AGUCGAGGGGCAGCGGGGUUGUAGCAAUACAACUGCCGGCGACCGGCGCACGGGUGAGUAACACGUAUGUAACCUGCCCUCUGCAGGGGGAUAAGCGGAAGAAAUUCCGUCUAAUACCGCAUAAUACAAUUUGGAGACAUCUCCGGGUUGUCAAAGGAGUGAUCCGGCAGAGGAUGGACAUGCGGCGCAUUAGCUAGUCGGCGGGGUAACGGCCCACCGAGGCUACGAUGCGUAGGGGUUCUGAGAGGAAGGUCCCCCACACUGGUACUGAGACACGGACCAGACUCCUACGGGAGGCAGCAGUGAGGAAUAUUGGUCAAUGGGCGGAAGCCUGAACCAGCCAAGUCGCGUGAGGGAAGACGGUCCUAUGGAUUGUAAACCUCUUUUGCAGGGGAGCAAGGCGCGGUACGUGUACCGCGAAGGAGAGUACCCUGAGAAAAAGCAUCGGCUAACUCCGUGCCAGCAGCCGCGGUAAUACGGAGGAUGCGAGCGUUAUCCGGAUUUAUUGGGUUUAAAGGGAGCGUAGGCGGGUUGUUAAGUCAGUUGUGAAAGUUUGCGGCUCAACCGUAAAAUUGCAGUUGAUACUGGCAUCCUUGAGUACAGUAGAGGUAGGCGGAAUUCGUGGUGUAGCGGUGAAAUGCUUAGAUAUCACGAAGAACUCCGAUUGCGAAGGCAGCCUGCUGGACUGUAACUGACGCUGAUGCUCGAAA